GCUCAACUUUAACGCGAAAUGGCGAGUGUUCCCCGCGCUACUGAUCAUCAGUCUAGGGCUGACUGGAUGUAGCGAAC
rnacentral:tRNA from 1 species